AUGGACAUGAGGGCCCCUGCUCAGCUCCUGGGGUUCCUGCUGCUCUGGCUCCCAGGUGCCAGAUGUGACAUCCAGAUGACACAGUCUCCAUCAUCCCUGUCUGCAUCUCUAGGAGACAGAGUCACCAUAACUUGUCAAGCCAGUGAGGAUAUUUACGGUGCUUUAGCAUGGUAUCAGCAGAAACCAGGGAAAGCUCCUAAGCUUCUGAUCUAUGGUGCAUCCAAUUUGCACACUGGGGUCUCAUCAAGGUUCAGUGGCAGUGGAUCUGGGACAGAUUAUUUUCUCACCAUCAGCAGCCUGGAGUCUGAAGAUGUUGCAAUUUAUUACUGUCAACAGUAUGGUAAUGCCUAUUACUACA